CCUGACGUCGAGCCUCGCGGACAACACCUGCGCACGGAGUUUUGUUCGUUCGGCUCGCGUUAAGC
rnacentral:pre_miRNA from 1 species